rnacentral:misc_RNA from 1 species
CGGUGGUCUGGUUCGACAAGCGGAUGGGGCCUGAGAUCGGCACGUCUACCCGCGUGGCGCGCGCGGAUAUCCGCAACCGUGCCGAUGCGAACAAUUACGACUGCUGGGACUCGACCCGCAAUGUCUNNNNNNNNNNNUUCAGGAAUGGGGUCUGUUCAAGCAUCACACGGUUGGCAAUCCGCGCUAUCGCGGCAACCUUUUCACGAUGCAGUUGCCCCACAACACCGCGGUGAUUGUCGA